rnacentral:rRNA from 1 species
GCUCAGGACGAACGCUGGCGGCGUGCUUAACACAUGCAAGUCGAACGAUGAUGCCCAGCUUGCUGGGCGGAUUAGUGGCGAACGGGUGAGUAACACGUGGGUGAUCUGCCCUGCACUUCGGGAUAAGCCUGGGAAACUGGGUCUAAUACCGGAUAUGACCACAGGAUGCAUGUUUUGUGGUGGAAAGGUUUACUGGUGCAGGAUGAGCCCGCGGCCUAUCAGCUUGUUGGUGGGGUAAUGGCCUACCAAGGCGACGACGGGUAGCCGGCCUGAGAGGGCGACCGGCCACACUGGGACUGAGACACGGCCCAGACUCCUACGGGAGGCAGCAGUGGGGAAUAUUGCACAAUGGGCGAAAGCCUGAUGCAGCGACGCCGCGUGAGGGAUGACGGCCUUCGGGUUGUAAACCUCUUUCAGCAGGGACGAAGCGCAAGUGACUGUACCUGCAGAAGAAGCACCGGCUAACUACGUGCCAGCAGCCGCGGUAAUACGUAGGGUGCGAGCGUUGUCCGGAAUUACUGGGCGUAAAGAGUUCGUAGGCGGUUUGUCGCGUCGUGUGUGAAAUCCCGCAGCUCAACUGCGGGCUUGCAGGCGAUACGGGCAGACUUGAGUACUGCAGGGGAGACUGGAAUUCCUGGUGUAGCGGUGAAAUGCGCAGAUAUCAGGAGGAACACCGGUGGCGAAGGCGGGUCUCUGGGCAGUAACUGACGCUGAGGAACGAAAGCGUGGGUAGCGAACAGGAUUAGAUACCCUGGUAGUCCACGCCGUAAACGGUGGGCGCUAGGUGUGGGUUUCCUUCCACGGGAUCCGUGCCGUAGCUAACGCAUUAAGCG